AAGAGCAGUCAGAGCUCUUAACCCCUAAGGCAUCUCUCCAACCUGAGGUUCAGAUUCUUAUGGGUUGAUGGUUUACAGCUCUAGUCAUUUUUUUUCCUGAGGUUCCUCAGCAAACUUUGGCUAUAAUGUAUGUAAUAAUUUUGUCCUUUUGAUGAUGCCCUUUGAAUCAGGACUGCAGCCUGUAAACUCAUAGGUAUUUUUCCAAGGACCAUCAAUCUAUACUGGAUAACUUAUGUAAAUGAUGGUCCAUUUCUGCUGCAUAACAAGUGGGAGAAUUUGCUCCAGGACAGCUGUUGCCACUUCUCUGGCAUUCUCAGUACUGAUGAGGGCAGCUUCUAUCCAGCUAGGAUGUGGUUCACAAACAGACACCUGACCCUGGUGCAAGAGGACUUGUAAACAGAGUCUAUUUGACAGUCCUUACCUGGGCAGGUGUCUCUUCUCUGUGUUGGUUCAAGGAAUGGGACAGGUCACUAGUUGACAGAACACUUCUUACUGUGAUGGUCAGCCCUUAUCGUAGGAACGGUCAAAUUGCCAUUUCAGAGGUAGGCCUCUCUUUCUCAGUGGGAUGUCAUGUAUUAUUUAUUUUCUAUUCUACAAUCUGAGGGCAUAACACUCGACUCACUACAGAGAUCAGUCUUCUUUGCUUCUUUUCCCAGAACCCUUGUGAGUUCUAUAGUUUGACUGUAAAUAAUUUUCUUUCUAUUAAAAUUCUUGAGUCUGUAAGACUACCAUACUUCCUAUAAUUACUAACCAGUUUUCUUGGCCAAUCUCACAUAUGUCUUCUGGUGACUCUUGCAGUAUCUGAAUGUUACUCAAGAGGAGAGUUGGAUAGCUCCCAAUAGAUUUUUGAUGAUUUGCUUAUAGUUUAUGAGUGCACUCUCGGCACUUAACCACCCUCCUCUUUCCUGGUGGUAGCUUGAAAACCAUGAAAGCAUGCUUUGAAGAAGUCCAGAUGCUAACCCUUUUUUUCUUCCCCCAAAUAAGUCCCCUUGCUUGGUAUAUUAGUUUAGCCUUCUUGGCCAAUGAAGAAGGGGAUAUUGACUAUUGACUCCACAUCAAAUGCUGCUCUUUGGCUGACCACUGUGCUACCACGUCUUGUUCUUCAUUUAAAGGUAACAACUCCCAUCGGCAAACCAGGUCUCUUCUGGAUUGUCCCGGGUUGGCCGCUUAAAUCCCACUAUCAGGCACAAGUGAAGCAGAUGGUCUCAGUACACAACUGCCUCUGAGAUAACACCAUCCAUCCUGGUGAGAUCAUUAAGACAUGGGACGUUCUAAAGGAAGGUAAAACAUGUCCUACAGUAAGGACUUCUAGGCAACACUCUGAGAUGAGAUGAGCUGCCUUAAAGCAGCACUCUCCAACCUGCUGAGCUGCUUGCUUGUGCCGAGUUGCAGGAUUCCAGCUUUCCUGAGCCGUCACCUACAUUGGGUAGACUUUGAGUGAUACAGCUGCCUUUGGAUCAUUUCUGCUUUUGUAAGUAACCCAAGCAGAACUUCAUAGUUCACCAAACUGGACUUCUGUCAUAUCCAUACAUUGGUUCCCUAUCUGGGGUCAGUAAAUAUUGGUCCACAUCUCCAGAGGAAUAAUUUUACCCAUGCCAUGCUUUGGGAGUUUACCAUAGGUUCUAAAGGCCAGCUUGUAACAAAGCAGGUGGUAGAAGACAGAAACAUGAUUGAGUUGUUCAGUGGAGAAAAGUGGCCACAGAAAGCAUGGCAUUACCAUGGAGAUGAACAUUUUUGGUGACUUGGUGAGUAUUACAGGGAUGGCUUAACUCUGUGCUUCUGGUUGUCAAGUCUAUGCUUCUGAACCUAGUACAGGAUUCAGGAAAGUGAUGAAUUCCCUAACAAGCCAGAAACAAGAAAAGGAGUUUUCCAGAAACCUUCUGGAUGAUGUUCCCAGCUCUGGACUAGAGAACAGAAAGCUAUGUGACUCCUGUGAAGGAUCAGGUGUGACAUGUCUUGUCUUUUCAUCCAGUGCCCGCUGGGAAAGCCAGGAAAAAAUUGGCAUCUUUGCUUUGACAAACUGCUGUGCUUAAAUACCUACCAUAGGUUCUAUACACAAAACCUCUCUCUCUCUCUCUCUCUCUCUCUCUCUCUCUCUCUCUCUCUCUCUCUCUCUCUCUCUCUCUCUCUCUCUGUUAACUGUUGCUCUUGUUGGGCUUUCAGUGUAGCAGGUGCCUUAGAAGUGUUCUGAAAUACUAGCAAGCUUACAGGACCUACUAGACUGCUUCCAACCUUAGGGAAACCUGGGCUGCACUGGCAGCAUGAUUGGCCAGCCUUCCUGUAUAUGAAGGUCAGCAGAGGCCUGGACACUGAGGAGUCUUGUUCUUAUGAAGAAAUGGUAACUGCAAUGUCUAUGUUGCCAUUCCAUCUCAUGUUAUGGGAAGGGGGCAAUUGCAGAAAAUCCAUGGUCUUCAGAACUCACAUUGGAAGGUAGAAUCACUGUGUGCUAUCAGUGUCUCAUUGUCAGUCGGUGCACAGCUUUCUGAUGUGAUGGUUCCAUGUAGCUGUUUCUGCUUCUCUGCACACAGAGAACACGCAAACCUUUCCACAUAUAGCACAGAUUCUUCAUAUGAAAAUUUCUACAGACUAGAAGAUCCAUGGGUGUCCUUGAAGACAUGAAACUUGAUUUUCAGUUCCAAGUUUCCCAGUUCAUUUCACUUCCUGGGAUGGUUUGUAGCAGCCUAGACUUUGGUGUGCUCUACAAAGUGCAGGACGUUGUAGCUCUAACUCGUGCUCACCAAGAGAUAGGUGGAAGUAAUUCAGUCUCUCUCUUCUCCCUUUACAUUUAAAAGCCUGAGAAUUCUCUGCUAAUAUCACAGACUUUGUGUAAAUCCCAGAGAAUGAGGGUGCCCUGGUGCAUGCCAUGCUACAGUGGGACCUGUGUCUGCUUCUAUUGUCUGUAGCCAAGAUUUCUUCCAGUUCUACAGUAGAGAUACAGAGGCAAGGUCUCAUGCUGACCUAACGCUGACCUCUGUUCAGGCUGUCAUGACUGCAAGAGCAGAAGACUGCCUAUGCAUCCCAGAGUUGGCUCUGUGUGCCCUUUGGCCUCCAGAACUUCUUCAGAAUAUGAUUGAAGGUCUCAGCCAGUCAGCAUCAUCAACCCUAGUUCUCGAAAGGAAAGAUGAGAUAUGCUCUUUAAUCUCCACCUACUUGGCUGCUGUUCUGAAUUGAGUAUGAGGCGUCCUUAGCUUCAAAGGCUCGUGUGUAAGGUAGAGGCUUGGUCCUCAGCUCAUGGAACUGUUUGGGGACAUUCUGGAAACUUUACAGUAUUGGACAGCACAUCAUUUUAGUGUGUUUGCAGCCUACCUUUCAUUAAAGACAUCAGAAGAGAGGCACAGAGGCCACUGCGUUAUGUCUUUGAUGGCUGUCUCUUUCCACUCUCUAUGUCUCUCUCUGGUUCCUGUCCUCCAUCAUAUGAAGACUCUCCUCCAGCAUACAUUCCCAGCAUAAUGUCUGUCCAAGUGCAUGGGGCCAAGCAACCAUAGACUAAAUCCUCUCAAAUCUGCAGCCAAGGCAAGGCCUUCCUUCCUGUAAAGUAUUCUAUCAGGUUACUUUUAUUAUAGCAAAAAGAUAACACAGCCAUCUCAUGUUUAAACUAUAUAUUCUGAAAAGUUCUUCAUGUUGGUGGUUAUGGGAUGCUGCACCGUGGACAAAAUGGGAUAACUUGGGAACAAUUCUGAUCUGCAGAGUGCAUCCAAAGGAAGUGAGUUACCAGCUCGUGAACAGCUCAGACUGAGAGCCAGAACCAAGGCUGCUCUUGUGUCUCUAUGGGAAUAUCUGUCCUUGAGUCCUGUCAGGAGCACUAUAAGAUGUUCAAGUCACCCCUUCCCAUGUAAUUGCCACAAGCCAGCCACGUCCCUAACUCGCUACAAUGGUCUCUACUCAGCAGGCCUAUAAGGUAGACAGCAUUAUUAUCUCCGUGUUACAUAUGAAGAGUUUGGAGCGUCAGUAAUUGAAAAACUCCCACAUCAUGCAGAGCUGAAAUAUUUUGGUUGAUAGAAACUUAGAAGCUAUGAGUAUUUCUUCCUCAGCAUUUCCCCCACUAUUUUGUAUUUACAGCAUGAGCGUGUGUGUGUGUGUGUGUGUGUGUGUGUGUGUGU
rnacentral:sRNA from 1 species